rnacentral:rRNA from 1 species
UCCCGUAAGGGACAUCAGUACAGGUGGUGCAUGGCUGUCGUCAGCUCGUGUCGUGAGAUGUUGGGUUAAGUCCCGCAACGAGCGCAACCCUUAUUCUUAGUUGUUUCCCUUUGGGGAUUACCCUCUAAGAAGACUGCCUCGGAUAACGGGGAGGAAGGUGGGGAUGACGUCAAGUCCGCAUGCUCCUUACGUCUAGGGCUACACACGUCCUACAAUGGGGUCGACAAUGGGAUGCAAUAUCGCAAGAUGGAGCCAAUCCCCAAACGGCCUCUCAGUUCGGAUUGUAGUCUGCAACUCGACUACAUGAAGUUGGAAUCGCUAGUAAUGGCAGAUCAGCAUGCUGCCGUGAAUACGUUCCCGGGUCUU